rnacentral:lncRNA from 1 species
UUAGGAUCAAGUCCAUGGGAAAAACUGCCAACUGAUGGAUCAACGUCACUUCUCCACGAUGAAACGAUCCUGUUCAGACCGGUUACCAGGUCUAUCCCGUCUUUCAUGCCAGGUAGCAAAUUGUCUCCAGGGUGAUCAAAGCUCUGCCAUAUAAAAUCUUCUACGCUGUUAAAAUCAGGAUGCCCUUCCCUUAAAACUAAAUUCCCUGUAUCUAAUAGCUGUGCAACAGGAUUCUUCAUGGAUACAGACGUAUUCGAUGACCAUAUUAUUCCAGUACUACUAUCCACCAAUUGCAAUGUAAUUCCCUUGUGAUUGACCUGCACUAAGCCUGAGGUAUUCAUAAGAGGAUUAUCUCUAUUAGCAACCCAAACAACUGUCCCUCUGGAUAUUUUCUUGUACCAGAUGCCCAGAUAUCGAUUCGUUGAACUUCCUGGACUGAAAAAUCCAAGUUCAAACUCUCCACCUGCUGAUGUGAUAGUAUCACCAUCUCGUAAGGUCUGAUGCAUUCUGAUGGUAUCUACUGCCACAGACCUUGUUAUUGUACAGAUUAAAAUGUAGCAAGCCAAAAUGAAAGUAUUCAACUCCAUUAUCUUGCAAAAUGAAUGUAGUUUGCAUAACUUAACCACAAUCAAGGUGAACCAAAUACUAUAUAUAGUACCAACAAUUUCAGUAUAGCCACUUGGAUACUUUAAAUACCUAUCCUUAAAAAUAAAAAAUUAUAUUCCUACGAGUUAUUGAAGCUGACUUUGAUUAUAAUAUACAGUAGAGGUUAAAAUGGAACAGUGUAAGUCAACUCCAUUAUAUUGCAGAACUCUUCUAGCUUGCUAUAUCUGUUGCUAGUAAUGCAUAACUUGACCCCAACCAAGAAAAAACCAAUUUUUCAGUUUAAAAAAAACAUUUUUGUCUCUGUCAAACUUAGUCACUUGGAUUUGGAUACCUAAAUUAAUAUAAAACUUAUACUAUUAUUAGUAAUGAAAGCUUGAGUCUCUGAUUAUAAUAAUCAGUUAGCACUUGGGUCUGAUUGGUAGAUUUUAAUAAAAACGAAUUGCUUCGUACUCAGAUGUCGGUUCUUGACCUGUUCAAUCUGAUAUAGGAAUAUGAUAUUAGUGAUUAAAUCUUGACUUUGAUCAAAAGAGUUCAGAAUCUAAGCACCUUAUCACUAGCAGUGACCUGGUCUCUCAGCAGGCAUUUAUAUGAAGCGAAAUGUUCAAUUCUAAGUUCCAAGGUCAAAGGUUGCUAUGCAAACUGAAUAGACUUAUGACAUGGUAUUGAUCUGUUUUGAAUAAGGAUAUAUGAGCCUUUUUGGGUAAAUACUAAUGAUAUGGUAUUGAUAUGUUUUCGGCUAAUGUCAAAAGGUCUCAUACUAAUGAAAUUAUUUGACUACUUGUUCGUAAAAUGAUUGUUUCUUGUCUGGUAGGAUUUGGGUGUUGUGAUUCUGCAUACAAGAAAGUGAGGAAGUGAAAGAUAAAAUGAUUGAAUCAGUUUCUUCAAAUACAAUAUGCGCAUAGAAAGAAAGGUUUGGUUUUGAUGAAUAGUGAUUAAAAUUCUUAAAAACAGAUGUCUGUUGAUUGUCACCCAUUGUAAAUUCUAAGUGCAUGAGUGUUGACAAAAGAUUAAGUUCAAUCUUCUUCUUUUUUUUAAAAGAAAAAUAAUUUAAUAAUGAAAAGUCAUACGGCAUCUACAGAUAUAAUUGAAAUUGAACAAACACAUAAUCAUAUCGCUGUUAAAUCCUUCCUUCUUCGGUAGGCAACUAAGCGAUUUUUGAAGAGAUAUGUACGUGCUCUAAUACUUUCAAUAUUGUUUUGAGCAAUCGAUCAUAAAUGCAUCACCAUACAAACCUUUAUUACUGAAUCAAAACCAUGAAAAUCUCGCGGAUCUGUAAUCCCGAACAUGAUGAACAAUACAAAACCCACACAAAAACCAAACUCUCACGAGGAGAGACCAAACAAAACCCAAAUAAAUUGGGAACUUACUGGAAAAAAACAAGAGAUUAAUUAAUACUCCCUCCUUCCCAUUUUAAUAGUCUUGUUUGUUAAGAAAAAAUUCUCAUAUUAUUUGUCCUUCUUCUUUGUCCAAUACAAAUUUUAUACAAGUUUCAAUGUUAACAUUUAUUAGCUCACACGAUUUUCAUGAUUUACUAUGCAAACUUACUCAUACAAUCAGGGACGUAUCCAGGAUCAGCAACUUAUGGGGGCAAUGUAUAUACUCCGUGUGUCCCUCUCAUUUUUUUACAUUUUUUAAGACGCCUUCCAUAACUUUUUUCUAGAAAUUUUUCUUUUUUAUAUAAAAAUUAGAUAACAAAUAUAUAUUCAAAAGAAAAAAAUACAAAAUAAUUUAUCAAAUUAUAUCUUAUGAGAGCAUUAGAAUCUGUUUUUGGAUUGUGUUUCUGCUGAAUACACUGCUGCUUGGCCAUUCAGUUCUUUAAAAAAAUAAAAUGAAGCUUUGAAGAGUUGAACACUGGCAAAUACAUUAAUAUACCAACACAAGAACCAUGGGGGCAAUCCUUACUUGCUGAAAAGUUAGUAGUACUAACUUAUAAAAUCUACGCAGGGCACUGGGGGCAAGUACCCCCACUGCCCCCGGUGUAGAUACGUCCCUGCAUACAAUCAUAUGCUUCAUGUAUUCAGUAAUCUUUCUGAUUCUAUUUUAAGAGUUUACUAGCUUAUCUGUUACACAUGGUACUGGAAAUGUACUUAGCUACAUGUACUUGUGAAAAACGUUAGUUUAUUGCGUAUAUUUAUGGACAUGUAAUGUAUCUCACCUUGUAUACAGGUCCAAAGCCACCCUCUCCAAGUUUGUUGUCUGGCCAGAAGUUACUUGUGGCAUUUGCAAUGCUUUGGAAGUCGAAUAAUGGCAACUCCAGAUCUUCUUUCUCAGUUCUGGUCAAGGCAACACUUUCCAAAUUCAGUUUGAAGCUUUCUGCAAUGAUUGAAGGGCAACAAAUGCACAUUGAUGUAGUGCUGAAAUAAUUUCUACGAAAUUUCUGAUUAUUCCCCGAGGAUCCCUUUAUUAUGGUACUAUCGUAUUUACUCGGUGGGAAUUCAAAAUCUUCCUUUCCAAUUAUUAGUACUCCACUGUUUUUGACUUUUUUACAUGUAUUUUAAGGUGUUAGAAAAAUCACAUUUAAACAUAAUUAUUCUUUAUAAAAUUUAUAUCAAUUAAAAGUUUAGAAUCUAAAUUUUUAUCUGAUAUAAGAGUUGAUUUUUUUUAUUGAGUGUAGAUAUUAUUUUUUUACACCUCAAUAUACGUGUAAAAAAGUUGAACAUCAGCUAAAAUGGGACGAGAAUAGUAAAUAAUUACCUCUUUCUGCAGCUUUUUCUUCUUGUUUACUGGAAGAAAUAUUCCGCCAAGCAGUACUACUGCUAGUAUGGCUAAAAUGAGAAUGAACUCUAGCAUCCACUUUGCUCUGCGACUCUUUACUGCAUUAGUCAAAAUAUUUAACUUCCAAAGAAUACACCAUCAAAAAGCAAAUAGCUGAGGUACUAAUUUUAUAGAGCAAGAGUUGUUGUACAAAGAGUGAAGACACGAAGUAUUCACGAAGGUAGUCUUACCUAAUUCAGACGAAGGCAUUCUUACAUAUAUAUCUUGUCCAUCUUCAGAAUAGUCUCUAAUAUCAAUUAGCUUAGUAAACCAUAAGACACAUACAUGUCCACCUCUUCUAACAUCUGCAUUUGCAAAAGCUGUACAAGAACAGUUUUUGAGGCACAAUUUCUCACAUUCUUGAAGGUUCAUAUUCGUGUUAUACCAGGAGUGACGUGUGUCAGGUAACUUCACACCCGAAUAUUGCACAAAACCCUCAUCAGUCCCGCAGACAAAGAUUAUUCUGCCAUUUGUUAUAAUGUUAUUUUUUCUCGAUUUGAACUUACAUCUAAUAUCGCUCCAAUCGUUAGAAAACUUUCCGCCAUUAAAUAUUUUUAAUAUCGACAGUUUGAAACUUACUUUCAAUAAUUUCGAAACCGAAAAAGUUACUUUUAAAACUUCAUUCCAAUAUACUCAAAACGAACCGAAACUUCCUUCCAAUAAUUUCGAAACCGAAAAAAGUAAUUUUAAAAUUUUCUUCCAAUAUAUCCAAACUAAUAAGAUAAUUUUUAUUUUGGAUAUUUAUAAUUUAAAAUUUUCAUAAAAUUAGAAAAAAUAUAACAGAGAAUAUUUUUUUCCCUCAAUUUUUCCACCAUAAAAUUUGUUUUAAUGUUAUUUUUUCUCGAUUUCAAACGUACAUGUAAUAGAUCUCUUCUACUAUUUGGAAAUUUUUCACCAUAAAAUAUUUUUUAAUAUUGACCGUUUGAAAUUCUUUUCUAAUAAUUUCGAAACCGGAAAAAAUAGUGUUGGAACUUUCUUCCAAUACAUUCGAAAUUAAUUGAAACUUCUUUCUAAUAAUUUCGAAACCGAAAAAUAAUGUUGAAACUUUCUUCGAAUAUAUUCAAAACUAAUUAUAACUUCUUUCCAAUAAUUUCGAAACCUAAAGAGGUAGUUUUUAAAACUUUCUUUCAAUAUUCGAAACUAAAAAGAUAAUUUUUAUUUUUGAUAUUUUUAAUGCAAAAAUUUGAGAAAAUUUUGAAACUUCUUCCGAAUAUUGUCAAAACUAAUUGAAACUUCCUUUAAUUAAUUUCGAAACCAAAAAAGUUAUUUUAAAACUUUCUUCCGAUAUAUGAAAUGUCACAUCCCGGUCCCAAAAAAAAAAAUGCUUAUAUAAUACUUUUGAAUGUAUUAAAAUAGUUUCCGGGAUUUUUAGAUUUAACAAAAAUAUUUUGUUUUAGGAUUUAUAAGGAAUUUGCGAAUAGUAAGGUGACCCUAUAAAGGAGAAAGGACAUGAAGGGGUAAAAAUAAAAGUCUCAGAAUAAUUUUUAGAUAUUUUAUAAAUUACCAGAGCGGAGAAAUAGUGAACAGAAGUACGGUCAGAAUUGUAUGAUUUUGCACCGAACUGUGAUUAUAAAAUCCAGUUAUUAGAAAAUAGGUGAAAAUAGAAAAGACACAAAAUGAGCCAAGAAUUUUCCUAGAGUAUCUAAAUAAAUUGUGGAACUCAUUUAUGAAUUUUCGGAAAUUUUACGAAGCUCAAGGAAGUUAAAAUGAAAAGGAAUAAAGGAGCCGGAUACCCAAGAUUUCCGGACUGCAAAAUGACCUUUAAACUAAACCAGCGGAAUUUCAGAAGGAAUACUGAAGAGAAGGUUAGUACGUUUAUGAUCUUUGGAGUCUCUAGAACAUUCCUAUAUUGAGUUUGAAGAAAAAUCUCGAGAUUAAGAGUGGACAGGGAUCAGUGGAAUAAUAUCAGACCGAUACAUCCCUAAGAAAAAGUGAAAUAUUUUCGGACUCCAAAUGAGCUCAUUUUAUAGUCAAAAAUUCCCAAAUAAUAUACUAGGAAUUAUUAUAUCAUCAGAAUUCGUCAACGAGAUCAAGAAUGGGGAGAUUUAAAUUAAGAUUUUAACAGAAGUAAUUAGCUUAAAUGGAUAAUCAUCCAGAAUUCUCCCGAAUGCAUGUUGGCCAAGUCAGGAGGUGACACAUGGCAAUUACUUAAAGAUAACUAACAUUUAACUUUCUAAAACACCGCCCCAUCAUCAGCUUUCAUUUCAUUUGGUCGAAGCAAGCAGUGAAGAUAAAGAAAAAGAAAAAGAAUUCAAGAAAAAUUCAUAGAAAAAGAUUUCUAGCUCAGAUUUUCGUGUUCUAUAGCUUGUUGGAAAGAUCUCUUCAAGACCUUUAAUUCAAGAGGUAUGCUUCUUAUUUUUGUAAUCAUUAGCGUGUUCAAAAAGAUGGUUGAUUCUAGCUAUGAAUAGUGAUGUUCUUGGUGGAAGAAUUUCUUUAAAUCCUAAAAUAAGUACUAGGAGAUUAUGGUGUUAUAAUAAGCAUGUUUACAUGUUUGGAUUAUUGUUUAAGCUUGUAAAGUGGUUGUUCUUGAUUGGGUUUGGAAGGAGGAUCUGGUAUAAGUAUUAUAUGGUGAUUUGGAGGUUGUAUAAUUGUUUGGGCUGAUGAUUAACAUAAGUUUAAUUAGGGAAACGUUAAGAUUAUAGCCGUUAUCAUGGCCAAGUUGAAAUAACAGCCGCUGUUACUGUUCAUCCGAACAGUUUAGUUUCUACUUUAAGAGGUUUAUUUAUAUGGAUGGCUAGAGUUUGAUUAGUAGAUCGCGUGAGCGCUUGAAGCAUGCAAAACGGAUUUACGGUUUAGAAGUUAUGGCCAUUUUAGUACAGGACGCGCAGAAUCCUAGUUUCCGUAAGAAAAUGAACUUUGAGGUUACAAUUCGGCUAGUUCAAAGAUGAUAUAAAUCAUGGAAUAAUUUGAGUAAAUACUAGGGACAAAUUGGGAGGUAUAUGAGUUGGUUUCGUAAGAAAAACUCGAAUGAUUUAUAAGUGAGAAGUGUCAGAACCUAAAGGUGUAAAUAGUAACAAUAAUACGUGAGACGAGAAACAGUUAGUACCAAAUCUCUUUAAAAUGAAAGGAUUGAUAAUAAGACUGAUUAGAAGGGACUUUAAGGGUAGGUAACACGUACACACACUAUGAUAUAGAGUUAUAAAGGAUUUUAAUGAUUAAUUAUGUCCCUUAUAGGUGCACAGAAAGGUGCAGAAGAACUUUAAGGACCAGGAAGUUGUAACUGAGUUGCUGAAGUAAGGUGAGUAUACAUCAACACUACUUAUAUCUAUGUGAUAUGCGAAUUACGUGCUUUUAUAUGCUGAAAGUGAUAUAUUAGAAUAUUGAUUCGACUAUGUGAUUCUAUACAUGACUGGAGUUCUUUGAUGUCAAUGUAGUGUGAUGAUAUAUCAAAGUACAUGUAUAUAUGGAAUGUGUAUUGACCUGUGAUUUCACGAACGAUACAUUAACAUAGAGUCUGCAUAUAGAAUAGGUCAUAUGCACACCCUACAUUCAUUUGAUAGUGAUAAAUUAAAAAGUCAAAGUGACAGUCACUUGUGUAAUGGCCACCUUUAUAUAUGGAAAUGGAACCUACGGGUAAUUACGGAGCAGACUAUAUGUCAGCCAUAGACGGGGCCGACUUGUGUCGGACAUAGACGGAGCCGAUUUCCAUAGUCGGACAUAGACGGAGCUGGCCAGACACACAUGGAUCCUUUGAGGGUACAUGUGGAAACACGGGCAUUAUACAGUGAACUGUUCACAAUAGAAAAAGAAAAAGAAACAGAGAUGCAUGCAUGCAUAGAUACAAGCUCAUACAUUCGUUGCAUACAUGAUUAACAAAAGUAAGUGAUUUAUGAUUAACUAAAGUUGAUGUAUAUUCAUUGAGUUGCGACUCAUGGAAAUCGCUCAAUUUUCCAGGAGAUGAAUAAUUAGUAGUGUGUUUUGUAUGAGUGCUCAGUGGAGAUUGUAGAUAGUGCCUAAGAGACGGUGGUCCAGCAGGAUGCUCCAGACUCCUCCAUCAGCCGAUGCACAUAUAUGUAGUUUGAGAGAUUGUGUUUGUGUACUCUAGACUUACUAAGUGUGCAAGAAAUCACGAAGAUAAAUUUAUGUUUAAAUUCUGAAUAUGUGUGGUGAAUAAGGAUGAUGGAAAUGUAUUGAAAUGAUAUGUUGCUUGGUAAAUGUUGUUGAAGUAGUUGAGAUUUUCUGUUCUGGUGAAGAUCAAGAUAUAGCCAAGCAAUAGCUGAUGGUUAUAUUAUCCACUUAUACAGGAUAAGAUAUUUCAUAAUAUUAUUAAAUUACAUGAUUUUGCUAGAAGUGCAUGAAAAUGAUUAUAUGGUACAAGGGUGUUACAUGAAAACUAAAAAGAUCAUUUUUAUUUUUGAUAUUUUUUAAUGUAAAAAAAAAAUCGGAAAAUUAGAAAAAUAUUAUGGAGUUCUAGAGCAACCACCUCAACGCCCCUCGUUUCUCAUUUGUAUAAGUAUAUUGAUUGUAUAUAUAUUAAAUUCUAACUGUUAACACGCUCAAUUUUUUAUUAAUUAAAGUAGGUGUACACUGCAACUUUCAAUUGAAGAUAGUUCAUUGUUAUAUUUUCAAAAUGCUCACACAUAUUAUAUUAGUCGAUGAAAUAAAUAUAACUAUAACAAAAUUUUUCUUGAAAGUUAAAAAAAUUUAAUAUAUGUAAUUUUUUUGAGGAUAGAUAUAUAAUUGAAACAGAAUCAAUAUAAUUAACUCAUCUAAAUUGCUCUCUGGUACUACUCUCUCACUUUUCCAAUAACUGAAACCCUGCAAAUAUUGAUAUUUAAAUGCUUCAUAAAUAUUUUAAUCCUAAUAUAGUAAUAUAUUUGAAAUCCUGGUAACCACCUCUAUCUUUUUAUUGUAGAUACAUCAUUCCUUGAAUAAGAUUCAUCUUGCCAAGAGAUACUUAUGCCAUCAAUUUUUACAUUUUCUCAAUGACAGCAUUACUUCCCUGCAUUUCCCUCGACGAAUAAAACACAGCACCAGCUCAAUGACAUCUCAUGAAUCUUGCUUUUCCCUAGACCAAGAGGUUUUGGAUAAAUAACAGUGUUAUCACUAUGGUCGAGGUAAGAGAGUAGUCAUUGUUAAUUCGUUGGAUGUUGACAGAUUUUGGUUGCUCAAAAAUUGGUCUGCUUCAAACAAAUCUCUCUCCAUGAAAAAACCAGGUUGCUUAGGAUGCGGCAGCUUCAUAUUACUGCUCAACAUCAGAACUACCUCUGACAUGACUGGCCUGUCCUUUGGAUCUUGUUGAACGCAAAGUAAUCCAAUUUGUAUAACUCGCAAGGCUUCAUAAUGGUUAUUGGGCUCCAAGAUCACUCCAUCAAUGAGUUCCAACAGUUUGCCUUGUUUGUAACUUAUCCAUGCCUAAAAUUUAAUUAUGCAACUUAUCAGUGGUAAGAAGCAUAUAGCAUGAGGAACGUCAUAGACACUUAGGCCCUGCUCUUGAGUUUUUUUAGGAGAGAAAGCAAGUGAAUGUAAGUGAAAGUUUGCAUCCCACUUUUGGAGUGAAAGUUUUGGAGUGAAAUUAUAUUAUAAUUGCAUCCAUUUUCACUUGUUUUCGUCCCUUUAAAAAACUCGGGAGCACAAACAUGAGUGAAAGUUAUAUAACUUUACUUCCUCCUCACUUGCUUUCCUCCCUCUUUAUAACUCGGGAGCAGGGCCUUAGUAUAUUUAUACUCACAUGCCCAAGUAGGUUAAAGCUGUGAUCAGGAUGAUUGAAUAAUCUGUUUUUCAUUCCACUUGCUAUCUCUACUAGCAAAACGCCAAAGCUGUAGACAUCGGAUUUAACAGAAAAUUGUCCAUCAAUAGCAUACUCCGGGGACAUGUAACCACUGCGAGAUGAGAAAAUGGAUAUUAAUUAUAAGUUGUCAAUUGUCAUGCAAAGAAAAAAUUUAAGUGCAAAGUCAUAGGAAUUCUUACUAUGUACCGACAACUCUUAACGUUUUUGCUUCACUUUCAUUUCCUCCGAAACUUCUUGCCAUGCCAAAGUCUGAAAUCUUUGGAUUCAUAUCAUGAUCAAGUAAUAUGUUACUGGCUUUGAGAUCUCUGUGUAUGAUCCUCAGCUUUGAAUCUUGAUGAAGAUAAAGAAGUCCCCUAGCAAUGCCAAUUAUUAUGUUGUAUAGCCUCGGCCAGUCCAUUGUGUUUCUGACGUUACUAUCUAUUCAUGUCAUCAAAUUAGACCAGUUCUCUAUAUAUGGGGACAUACAUGACAAAUCUCAGACAAUUAACAUAAUAUAUAUCCAGGUUGGGUCAUACCAAAAAUGAAUGAAUCUAGACUUUUGUUAGCCAGAUAUUCGUAGAUCAAAAUCCUUUCUCCUUUCUCCGUGCAGCAACCAAGAAGCGUCACUAGAUUUCUGUGUUGAAGUUUGGCAAUACAUGAAACUUCAUUUUUAAACUCAUCUAGUCCUUGACUUGAGUUUCUUGAAAGCCUUUUCACUGCUAUUUCUUGUCCAUCAGUCAAUAUACCCUGAAAAUAGGUUGUAAUGUGUUAUAUAUUUGAAUUGACUCGGUAUAGAUUUAAGAACCCAAUUAUUUGUAUUUCCCUUCCACAGAGCACUUAACAUCUAUAUCUCAUUACCAUUUUAAUUCUAAUAUAGACAAGACGAAUAAUUCUAUGUGUUACACAUGGUAAAAUACACGUUUAUUAGGUAAAUGUAUAUAUGAAUUCGUUUUGUUAUAUGUGGUACAGACACUUCUAUUGUUGCAGAUAAACUUUUCCUACAGUAUAGUGAGACAAUGUUAGCUUGGUGCAAAAAUUGUCUACAUAUAAUCACCUUGUAUACAGGUCCAAAGCCACCCUCUCCGAGUAUCAUAUCUCGUGAGAAGUCACUUGUGGCAUUUGCAAUGCUUUGGAAGUCAAAUAAUGGCAACUCCAGAUCUUCAUUCUCAAUUUUGGUCAAGGCAACACUUUCCAAAUUCAAUUUCAAUUUUUCUGCAGUGAUUCAAUAUGGAACAGAGGGGGAUUAUGAGGUCAUGAUUAAUUUUGCUGAUAAUAAUUGUGAAGGAUCAGCCAUCUAUGAUUUAUAUAAUAUUAUUCACACAGAGAUAUAAUUUAUGUAGAUACUACUUAGUAUAUCUUCCUUCCUUGAGUAACAGUUACUGUAACAGACUAACAGAGACUAGUUUACCUUCUUUCUGCAGCUUUCUCUUCUUGCAUGCUACAAGGAAUAUUCGGCCAAGUAGCACUACUACUAGUACUGAAGCAAUGAGAAUGAACUCUAAUUUCCACUUUACUCUGGAGCUUCGGCUUUUUACUGUGUGAAACAAAUUACACAAAUAUAUUAAACUUACAAAAGAACUGUAAAAAGCAAAGAGUUGUUGGAGUAAAAAGGGGAGGACACAAAAUAUUCGUGAAGGUUGUCUUACCUAAUUCAGACGAUGGCAUUCUUACGUAGAUAUCUUCCCCUUCUACUGUGUAGUCUCUAAUAUCAAUUAGGUCAGAAAACCAUAAGAUACAUCCAUGUCCACCUCUUCUGACAUCUGCAAUUGCAUAAGCUGUACAAGAACAGUUUUUCCGGCAUGAUAUCUCACAUUCUUGAAGGUUCAUUUUCAUGUUAUACCAUGAGUGACGUGUGUCUGGUAACUUCACACCAGAAUAUUUCAUAAAGCCUUCGUCGUUCCCACAAACUAGAUCAGUUUUGCGGAUGCAUCCACCAGACCAAUCAGCUGCUUUCCACUCCUCUUGAAAUUUCGGAAUAAAUCCUCUCAAGCAUUCACAUCUUGGUGUAUUGUUGAUCUUGCAUAUUCCAUAUACACCGCAUAGUCCAUAAUGAUCACAGUCACUGUCCUGCAUAGUAAGGUAAACCAUCCAGAUUUGUUGCUGAUCAUUCCACACAAGAAGUUUUGAAUCUCCGCUUGGAGUCAGUAUGAACCUCAUUAUAGCAGAAGUUGUAUUGAUGAGAUGAAACCUAUAAUAGAUUUCCUUUUCAUUGAAAACAAACACAUCUUUAAAAAUUCCAUUCUGGUUCUUGUUGGGAAGACCACCAAAUUUAUAACCAUUCCAUAGUCCCGUCCUCGUCCAAAUUAACGAAUCUUUUGACACAAAAUAUUGUGGAAAACCAUUAGGAUCAAGUCCAUGUGAAAAACUGCCAACUGAUGGAUCAACGUCACUUCUCCAUGAUGAAAAGAUCCUGUUCAGACCAGUUACCAGGUCUAUCCCAUGUUUCAUGCCAGGUAGCAAAUUGUCUCCGGGGUGAUCAAAGCUCUGCCAUUUAAAAUCUUCUACGCUGUUGAAAUCAGGAUGCCCUUCCCUUAAAACUAAAUUCCCUGUAUCUAAUAGCUGUGCAACAGGAUUCUU